rnacentral:rRNA from 1 species
CCUACGGGUGGCAGCAGUGAGGAAUAUUGGUCAAUGGCCGAGAGGCUGAACCAGCCAAGUCGCGUGAGGGAAGACGGCCCUACGGGUUGUAAACCUCUUUUGUCGGGGAGCAAAGCGAGUCACGUGUGACUCAUUGAGAGUACCCGAAGAAAAAGCAUCGGCUAACUCCGUGCCAGCAGCCGCGGUAAUACGGAGGAUGCGAGCGUUAUCCGGAUUUAUUGGGUUUAAAGGGUGCGCAGGCGGAUGUGCAAGUCAGCGGUCAAAUUGCGGGGCUCAACCCCGUACUGCCGUUGAAACUGCAUGCCUUGAGUGCGCGAGAAGUAUGCGGAAUGCGUGGUGUAGCGGUGAAAUGCAUAGAUAUCACGCAGAACUCCGAUUGCGAUGGCAGCAUACCGGCGCUCAACUGACGCUCAUGCACGAAAGUGUGGGUAUCGAACAGGAUUAGAUACCCUUGUAGUC